GGAAGUUUUCUCACCAGGUGUUUCCAGGCUCGCUGCGUGGCAUCCCCCUGCCUUGGAGCAGUUAAAGCCGUGAGGAGCAGGAGCAGCUCGUUGCAGGUAACUUUGCUGAGAGAUGGCGGAGCACCGUCAGGACGUCACCAUGAUGGAGGAUCAUGCAGCUGCUCAGGAGAAGCACAUCCCAUCAGGCUAUCCCCUUCAGAUACCAGUUGAUGAUGGAUCAGAUGAGCCUGUUUCUGAAACAUCUGACGCUAAGAGCACCCCAACUACGGAAGAUGCCACAGCACCUUUAGUGGAGGAAGGAGACCACGAGGAUCAGGGUGGUGUCGAACAGCACGGGGAGAUCCCAGAAGGAACCACAGCUGAAGAGGCUGGUGUAGGAGCCACUCCCAACCUUGAGGACCACGCUGCAGGAGAUGCCACUCAAGCUCCAGGGGAGCCAAGCUCUGCAAAGCCACAGCCUGGCCCCCAGGAGCCUGUGGGAGGUGUGAUGAAAGGAGAAAGCCAGUCCACAAAGCAGUCAGCUGGGGCUCUCCAGCAGCCUCUGCUGCCACCUGAAACAAAGGCUACAGCAGCAGCUCCCACCAGAAUCGAGGUCACCAUCCCAAUACCCCUGGAUAUGUACCAAGACUCCAGAGCAUCCGAAGACAAGAGUGAGUUGUGGGAUCAUCGAGGCAGAGAAGGCAUUGGUGUAGAUCCAGAGCUGGGAGCAGAGCUGGGUCCUGAGGUGCACACUGAGGGGUUGGCAGGAGCUGGUGGCACAGAGGAGACCCAUAUUAAAGAUGGGCCAUCUCCUUUAUGUACCAGAGCCCCGUUAAAAGAAGAUGCCAGUGGACAGGAGAGAGAUGAAGACCGUGACAUUGAUGAAAUGUCUGAGCAGAGUUUGCUUUCUCUGGUGGCUCAGCGUGAAGUGGGCUUGUGUCCAGCAGCUAAGGAAGCUCUUAAAGAAAACGUGUCCAAGGAUGUCCUCAGAGACAUCCCAGGAGAGGCACUUGUUGUUGAAGCUGAACCACAUAAAGCAGGAGAGGACCAAGAGGAGAGGAGACAGCUGCUGGGAGGUGAAGAAGGUAGAGAUGUCACCCAGUCAGAGCCUUCUGAAGUCAUCUCCCAAACCGAAGCUGAGCCCAGGGAGGGAGAAGAUUCUGGACCCACAGAGGUAAAAGAUGAUGUGCAAGGCAGAGAUGCUCCUUUGGAAGAGGUUGUGCCAGGUACAGGAGAACGUCGAACACCCAAGAAGAAACCUCCUGCCCACGUUGCAGAUAAAGCCACCAGUCGUGUCCCUCUCCUCAAAGGUCGUAUUGACAGCAAAGACAAGGAAGGGACUGAAGCUGAGGAAAAGAAACUGAAGAACUCCUCACCCUGCACUGCCAAACCCCCAGGGGAUAGACCCUGCAUCCCCCCCCAACGACACACCUCCUCUAGCACAGCCCCUUCGAAAACACCCUCCAGCCCUGCUUCCACCUCUAAACGAGCCUCUUCUGUCACAUCCCGACCUGCCAGUACAGGAACACAAGAAAGGAGAGCCAAGGGCUCGGAGAUGAGAGGUGGCACGAAGGCCACGCCGCGGGCUGGAGCCGGGCAGGCACAGAGGAACUCCACCAAUGCCACACGCAUCCCAGCAAAGACCCCCACGGCCCCUAAGACACCCCCCAGCUCCGGCAGAAAGGAGCAGAAAAAACCACCUCCGGCAGCAGCAAAGUCUGAGAAAGGUGAGCAGCCAAAGUCUGGAGACAGAAGCGGUUACAGCAGUCCCGGCUCCCCCGGGACUCCAGGCAGCCGUUCCCGCACUCCCUCUCUGCCCACCCCACCAGCCAGGGAGCCCAAGAAGGUGGCAGUGGUCCGCACACCACCCAAAUCUCCUGCCUCUGCCAAGAGCCGCAUCCAGCCCUCAGCCGCGCCGAUGCCGGACCUCAAAAACGUCAAGUCCAAAAUCGGCUCCACUGAGAACCUGAAGCACCAGCCCGGAGGUGGCAAGGUGCAGAUUAUUAAUAAGAAGCUGGACUUUAGCAGCGUUCAAUCCAAGUGUGGCUCAAAGGAUAAUAUCAAACACAUCCCGGGAGGAGGCAGUGUGCAGAUUGUUAAUCAGAAGUUGGACUUUAGCAGCGUUCAAUCCAGGUGUGGCUCAAAGGAUAAUAUCAAACACAUCCCAGGAGGAGGCAGUUUUUUGUGGACAUAAGCUUUAUGUUUUACACCAGAAAAGGUAUUUAUUUUUUACGUUUUUCUCUCUGGUAUUAUUUCCUUCUUUUGGAUGAUGUGUAUGCAAAUCUGAAUUAAUCACCACUCCACUUUCUCUCUCACUUUAAGCACUUUAAAAUUGCCUCUACUUCCCCCCUCUGUGGAGAGGUGAUCUCGUGCAUGCUGACAUGUUAAAGAGAGGCUACUGCACACGGGCAUUACUGAUCUCCCAUUUCUGAUGACAGUUUCUCUUGUAUCGUUAACCUUCCUGGGGUUUGAGCUGUCCUUUCCCUUGACUCCAGAUCAGGUGCCGGGGUGUGUUGUGCCUCCCCCUCCCCACUCGCCCAUGGUGGCCAUCCCCUCACUGCCUUCUCCUCUCUCAUAUGGACAGGUUCAAAUCGUUUACAAGCCAGUCGACCUGAGCCACGUGACGUCCAAAUGUGGUUCCCUGGGCAACAUCCAUCACAAACCAGGCGGUGGCCAGGUGGAGGUGAAAUCUGAGAAACUGGACUUCAAAGAUAAGGUGCAGUCAAAAAUCGGGUCCUUAGAUAACAUCAGCCACGUCCCUGGAGGAGGGAAUAAAAAGGUAAAG